UGGUUAAUAUGACAUUGACCAAUUGCUGGAAAAUGGUGACAUUGGCAAAUGGUCUCAUCUUGACACUGUGGCCCAAAUUCACUGUAGGAAAUCACUCCAAUUCUUCAUCAUUUCCUAAGUGCCAUCACUUUAAUCAUGAACUUAACCUCUUUUGAUUGUGGUAAUUGCUGAUAAAUGACCAAGUCUAUCUCAUGUUUCUAUUUCUGUGAAGGGUCUAAUGGCUUGAAUUAAAAUAUUUCUCCAGUUUGCUCUGAUCCUUCAUAGUGAUAGAGACAUGGGGUAAAUCGUGGGCACAUACAUAAGAUUUGUUUUCCCUGCUGGGUCAGCUAUAGAGAUGAGGAAGCAAACACAAAGGGUGAGAGUCACUUCACCAAGGGGACAAUACCAUUGAGCUGUAAUACUUUUAUGAAACUCCUGGCUCAUCUCGCUCUUGAUGCCACUAAGAAUAGAGCCAUCUCCCUGCCUUCUCAGCAUUGCUGAGCCGAGUGGAGAAACCGAUUCCAUUAUUUGACAUUCCAUUUGCCUAGACUGACCAGUGCUUCUGGAUCUCUGUUCACAUCUUUUGAAAAAACAAACAUUUAAUGGAAAAUUUAUCUUGAUUUUUUGAAAAAUAAAAUAUUACUUUUAUCAAAGAAGCAAACAAAUGCCCCUUUGGGUUAUUCUGGAAUCUAUACUAUAAUUGACACAAAUGGAUCAUUAAAAUAUUCUUGAAGUUGGAAAAUAAUCAAAUGGACACUUUUUUCCCAGUUUCACAAUUAUUUUCUAAUAUUUUCUGUUUAGUUGAAUAUUUUCCUAUUAGGGGAACUGUGUGCUUUAGUAAUAGUUCAUGCCUUAAGUAAGGAGAGCAUAAUGGUUGAUCCAGAAGCAGCCUGAUUCUGAAACCCAAAACUAAGGAAUUUCCUAUGCUAGGAACCCAGAAUGAUUAGACUGACCUUUAUUCAGCUCUUCUAUAAAAGCUUGGUAUCCCUUGGCUCAAUUAGCCCUCUCUAUCAGACCAAAUGGAGACAUUAUGUCACUUUUGCUUUUUGUUAUGAUUGUUGCUAUAUAUCGACAAAUUACAGUUUUAUAUAUUUACAGGGUAUGGAGGGAUGUUGCAAUAUUCCAACACGUUGUGCAAUGAAAUGCAACAACAUGGAUGGAAUUGUGAAAUAAGCCCGUGACGGGAAGCCGUCAUCUGUGAAGUGGAGCUCGGGAGGGCACGGAUUGACGGUCGCCACACUCACUCCUAUACAAAGACAAACUAUGUACACACACCCAGGAAGCAACUGGAGAAAGCAACCGGUUUGGGGGUUAACAGACCAACGGGAAGGAAAAGUCAUGGCAGGUGACCUUCACCCACCGGCCGUGCACUGGGGAGCCUGCAGCUCCCUUCAUGGAAGCCACACACCACAAUGUUCAUUCAGCAAAUAUAAAUACAUGUUCAUAAAGUGGGAGAAAAAUAAACCCAAAGCUUUCCUCACGUUCAA